GGUGCAUGCCCAUGCCUUGCAUGGGUGGUUUAGUGGCGAACGGGUGAGUAACACGUGAGUAACCUGCCCUUAACUCUGGGAUAAGCCUGGGAAACUGGGUCUAAUACCGGAUAGGAGCGCCUACCGCAUGGUGGGUGUUGGAAAGAUUUAUCGGUUUUGGAUGGACUUGCGGCCUAGCAGCUUGUUGGUGAGGUAAUGGCUCACCAAGGCGACGACGGGUAGCCGGCCUGAGAGGGUGACCGGCCACACUGGGACUGAGACACGGCCCAGACUCCUACGGGAGGCAGCAGUGGGGAAUAUUGCACAAUGGGCGCAAGCCUGAUGCAGCGACGCCGCGUGAGGGAUGACGGCCUUCGGGUUGUAAACCUCUUUCAGUAGGGAAGAAGCGAAAGUGACGGUACCUGCAGAAGAAGCACCGGCUAACUACGUGCCAGCAGCCGCGGUAAUACGUAGGGUGCGAGCGUUAUCCGGAAUUAUUGGGCGUAAAGAGCUCGUAAGGCGGUUUGUCGCGUCUGUCGUGAAAGUCCGGGGCUUAACCCCGGAUCUGCGGUGGGUACGGGCAGACUAGAGUGCAGUAGGGGAGACUGGAAUUCCUGGUGUAGCGGUGGAAUGCGCAGAUAUCAGGAGGAACACCGAUGGCGAAGGCAGGUCUCUGGGCUGUAACUGACGCUGAGGAGCGAAAGCAUGGGGAGCGAACAGGAUUAGAUACCCUGGUAGUCCAUGCCGUAAACGUUGGGCACUAGGUGUGGGGAUCAUUGCACGGUUUCCGCGCCGCAGCUAACGCAUUAAGUGCCCCGCCUGGGGAGUACGGCCGCAAGGCUAAAACUCAAAGGAAUUGACGGGGGCCCGCACAAGCGGCGGAGCAUGCCGGAUUAAUUCGAUGCAACGCGAAGAACCUUACCAAGGCUUGACAUGUUCUCGAUCGCCGUAGAGAUACGGUUUCCCCUUUGGGGCGGGUUCACAGGUGGUGCAUGGUUGUCGUCAGCUCGUGUCGUGAGAUGUUGGGUUAAGUCCCGCAACGAGCGCAACCCUCGUUCCAUGUUGCCAGCACGUAAUGGUGGGGACUCAUGGGAGACUGCCGGGGUCACCUCGGAGGAAGGUGAGGACGACGUCAAAUCAUCAUGCCCCUUAUGUCUUGGGCUUCACGCAUGCUACAAUGGCCGGUACAAUGGGUUGCGAUACUGUGAGGUGGAGCUAAUCUCAAAGAGGCCGGUCUCAGUUCGGAUUGGGGUCUGCAACUCGACCCCAUGAAGUCGGAGUCGCUAGUAAUCGCAGAUCAGCAACGCUGCGGUGAAUACGUUCCCGGGCCUUGUACACACCGCCCGUCAAGUCACGAAAGUCGGUAACAUGAGAAGCCGGUGGCCCAAGUCGUCACA
rnacentral:rRNA from 1 species